GUUACAGAGCAGAAGUUCAACCACGAUCUGUGGAAUAAAUGAGUACGUGGACGCCCGAAGGGUGGUAUUACACCAUCCCGUCAUGCUGUGCCCUCUCCCUGAAUCAACAGCCAGAUGAGCUCCAUAUUACCUGUUUUGGAAGGAAGAUGAACCACAGAUACUCUUCUGAACAGUAAACUGAUCCCCGAGAGCAAUCAGGUUCAGCAGAUUCCAUCCCAGCUGAGAGGAGAAGUCAGGGUACAUGAUUAUCUAUCUAUAACGAGCAGGCAUUACUUCUGUCAUCCACAAAAAGACUUUCAACAGAAAUGGCAUUACAGUACAGAUUUUUAAAAUAUGAAAAUGCCACCCAAUGAGUUAUUUUUAUAAAUGACUGGAAUAAAGAAAACUAUUUAAUAAUGUAGACAAAGUGUCAUAUGCCUAAGAAAUCUUUGUCUGAUAUAAAAGGUGAGUUAAAGAUGGGCUGGAAUGUUCUUAGUAACCAGGUAAAUAUUAUACCCAAAAUUAAACAACUACUCUCCCUUUGUAUAUCACUCAGCCCGAAGACAAAAGAGGAAAUGUUUCCACCACAACGGUCAUCAGAUACACUUAGCUGUGUGAAAAGAAACAUAAGACCCCACAUCAUUUAACUUGUAAAAUCUCAGUCAAUACUUGACAACAAA